GACGUAGGUGGCGAACGUUAUCCGGAAUUAUUGGGCGUAAGGGGUGCGUAGACGGUGGAAUAAGUUACCGGUGGGAAACCGAGGCUCAACCUCGUGGAAGUUGGUAAUACUAUUUUACUUGAGUGCAGGAGAGGUUAACGGAACUCCAUGUGGAGCGGUAAAAUGUAUAGAUAUAUGGAAGAACAUCAAUAACGGCGAAGGCAGUUAACUAUUCUGUGACUGACGUUGAGGCACGAAAGCGUGGGGAGCAAAAAGG
rnacentral:rRNA from 1 species